rnacentral:rRNA from 1 species
UACGUAGGGGGCAAGCGUUGUCCGGAAUCAUUGGGCGUAAAGCGCGUGUAGGCGGCUGAGUAAGUCCGCUCUGAAAGCCCGGGGCUCAACCCCGGGAGGCGGGUGGAUACUGCUCAGCUCGAGUCCGGAAGAGGAGUGUGGAAUUCCUGGUGUAGCGGUGAAAUGCGCAGAUAUCAGGAGGAACACCAAUGGCGAAGGCAGCACUCUGGGACGGUACUGACGCUGAGACGCGAAAGCGUGGGGAGCAAACAGG